CGCGAACGCUGGCGGCGUGCCUAACACAUGCAAGUCGUGCGGAGGGGUGAUGAGCCCCUCAGCGGCAAACGGGUGAGUAACACGUGAGUAACCUGCCCCUGGGAAGGGGAUAACCCUCCGAAAGGGGGGCUAAUACCCUAUAUUGCCGGGGACCACUAAGGUCACCCGGUGAAAGGUGGCCUCUGCCCUUCAUGGGUAUGCUACCGCCCAGGGAGGGGCUCGCGGCCCAUCAGGUAGUUGGUGGGGUAACGGCCUACCAAGCCUAUGACGGGUAGCCGGCCUGAGAGGGUGGCCGGCCACAGUGGGACUGAGACACGGCCCACACCCCUACGGGGGGCAGCAGUGGGGAAUCGUGGGCAGUGGGCGAAAGCCUGACCCCGCGACGCCGCGUGGGGGAUGAAGCCCUUCGGGGUGUAAACCCCUGUCGGGGGGGACGAUGUGUCCUGGGGUGAAUAAUCCCAGGGCAUGACGGUACCCCCAGAGGAAGGGACGGCUAACUACGUGCCAGCAGCCGCGGUAAUACGUAGGUCCCGAGCGUUGCGCGAAUUCACUGGGCGUAAAGCGUCCGCAGCCGGACGGGUAGCGGUGCGUCAAAGCCCACCGCUCAACGGUGGAACGGCGUACCGAACUGCCUGUCUUGAGGCACGCUCAGGCAGGCGGAAUUCCCGGUGUAGCGGUGAAAUGCGUAGAUAUCGGGGAGGAACACCGAAGGCGAAGGCAGCCUGCUGGAGCUGUCCUGACGGUCAGGGACGAAAGCUGGGGGAGCAAACCGGAUUAGAUACCCGGGUAGUCCCAGCCGUAAACCAUGGGCGCUUGGCGUCGUCCUCGUGGCGGUGCCGCAGCUAACGCGGUAAGCGCCCCGCCUGGGGAGUACGGGCGCAAGCCUGAAACUCAAAGGAAUUGGCGGGGGCCCGCACAACCGGUG
rnacentral:rRNA from 1 species